AAGGUCCAUAAAAAUAAGAUGUUAUAUAUAUCUAACUCUACAUAUUAACAGAUUUACAAAGAAUACAAGUUAGUAUAGAACAAAAGAAUCAGUUAGCAAUGAAUACUAUAUAUGUCUAGAGAUAUGUCAAACAAGCCUAUUUGAAUUCCAUAGGACCAGAAGCAAUAUCAAUUUAACGGAGUAAAGCCAUAACUAAUAAAAAAAAAGCAAAACUUAACGAAAGGAAAUGAAGUACUCCAUCUACAAAGAUCUCGAAUUAACGGUUGACUCCGAAAAGCUCUAGAUCCAUUACAUGUAUAUAAAGAGAAUACAAGUUGCCACCAAAAUGCACUUCAACAAGAACAAAGGGCAAACAGGGAUCUAAUUUUCAGUUACAUGUCAGAACUUCAAUACUAU
rnacentral:misc_RNA from 1 species